rnacentral:siRNA from 1 species
UGGACUCACUCUCAGGAAC